AUGGUGAACAAAGCAUGGUUAAUUAAGGUCU
rnacentral:piRNA from 1 species